rnacentral:lncRNA from 1 species
AGCGCGUCUCAGCCUCUUUGAGUUGCAAGUCCUUGGGUCCCCAGAUCUGUUAGCCGUCUCUGGCUCUUGUGGCGCCUCGCCUGCCAGUGGCACGCAGGCCAUCCCAUCUCAGGGGACUAAUUUAUAGAGGAGGACUCCGAGGCCAAGUUGGGGGGUGGGGUUGAGCACUGCACACACAAUGGAGCCCAGGAGGCACCGACGGGGCUUCCCCAACUACUUGCGCCCACACCCGGGACUCCCCACUGGCCAGCUGGCCCGCCUUGCCUGGCCUCAUUCCUCUUCCUGCUGGCUUGAGCAGAGCCACGCCGCCAGGCCUGCCGGUUCCAGUCCUGCCCGAGAGAAGGAGCUGGGAGGUCUCCAGGGCGAGAGGUUCUAGCCAGUUUGUCUCAGCACUGCUCCUCAGACAAUUGUGGGAAUUGCCUCUGCCCCCAUCUCACUGUCUUUCCUGAGCCCACGGUUCAGAGCUCCCCUUGCUCAGUCAAGCUCAUAAGAGGGAUUUGAUUGUCAGCUGUAACUCAUUCACUCAUUAAGGGUCCCCUGGGCCCAAAGUCUGAGCACCAAAUGGGAGCCAGGGACUCCAUUUUU